UACGAAGGGUGCAAACGUUGCUCGGAAUUAUUGGGCGUAAAGAGCUCGUAGGCGGUCUGUCGCGUCGAUCGUGAAAACUUGGGGCUUAACCCUGAGCUUGCGGUCGAUACGGGCAUGACUGGAGUUCGGCAGGGGAGACUGGAAUUCCUGGUGUAGCGGUGAAAUGCGCAGAUAUCAGGAGGAACACCGGUGGCGAAGGCGGGUCUCUGGGCCGAUACUGACGCUGAGGAGCGAAAGCGUGGGGAGCGAACAGG
rnacentral:rRNA from 1 species